UGUGUAUGGUGUGGUAAUGUGUGUGUGUUAGUGUGUAUGGUGUGGUAAUGUGUGUGUGUGUUAGUUACCUUCUGUCUGUGUGUACACAAACAGGGCAUCUUGGGAAAUCUGAUCCUGGGUAAUGACGUGCUUUCUGAUUGGCUGAUUUUCCCUCUGGAUAUUGAUGGUGUCAUUGCAAAUGGCUGGCUGCAGUCAGGAUGGGAGGCAGAUGGGAAUGAAGGAGACGUUGGACCAUGUUUCUAUUCUGGCACUUUAAAACCCAACGGAAUCUCCAGAGACACCUUCAUCAAACUUACUGGCUGGACCAAGGGUCAGGUGUUCAUUAAUGGUGUUAAUGUGGGUCGGUUCUGGCCAGAACGUGGUCCUCAGCACACACUGUAUGUUCCUGCAUCAUUAAUCAGUGCCACAGUAACCAACAACAUCACUGUGCUAGAGCUGGAGAGAGCAGCCAAUCACAGACGAGUGGUGUUUACGGACCGCCCACAACUUGACAAUGUGGCUGUGUAAAGCAACCACACAAACACACAACCACACACACACACACACACACAAAACCACACACAAACACACACACAAAACCACACACAAACACACACACACACACACUUACCUACACGAUAUAUUAAUAUCCUUACACCAUUUUUGAAAGAGCUACAAAAUUAGAAAAGUGACCCUCUGCUCUUUUUGGUGUGUGUGUGUGGGGGGGGGGGGGGGGGAUGACAUAAUUAUAAUGUGUGUGUAUAUGUAUAUUGAACCCAAUUCCCCCCUGGGGUUAAAUAAAGUAUUCUGAUACUGAUA